rnacentral:rRNA from 1 species
UACAGAGGUCUCAAGCGUUGCUCGGAAUCACUGGGCGUAAAGGGUGCGUAGGCGGCUUGGUAAGUUGGGUGUGAAAGCCCCGGGCUCAGCCCGGGAAGGGCACUCGAAACUGCCGAGCUGGAGUGCCGGAGGGGAGAGUGGAAUUCCUGGUGUAGCGGUGAAAUGCGUAGAUAUCAGGAGGAAUACCGGUGGCGAAAGCGACUCUCUGGACGGCAACUGACGCUGAGGCACGAAAGCGUGGGGAGCAAACAGG